rnacentral:rRNA from 1 species
UUUUAAUAUUUAAAUUUUAUUUUUAUUUGAUGUAUUAAAAUUAUAGAAUAAUUUAAAAUUAUAAAUUUUUUAGUUGUUUUUUAAUAGUAUUAAUUGAAUUAUUUGUUUUAUAUAGAUUUUUUAAUGUAAAUGAAUAUAUAAUAUAAUUAUUAAAGUGUAAUUAAUUUUUAGUACCUUUUGUAUCAGGGUUUAUUAAAAUUUACUAAAUUAAUAUUGAUUAUCUCGAAAAUGAUAGAGUUACUCUAGGAUGUAAAUUAAUGUUUUACUAUUAUUUAUAAUUUUUUAGUAGGGGUGAUAUGCCAUUCGAUUUCAUUGAUAUCUAGUUUUUACUUAAUCUAAUUUAAUUAGGGAUUGAGAAUAAGGUAGUAAUUUUUUAUUUAUAUUAUUACAUUUUUUUAUUUUCUCUUUCUUAUACUUUGGGGGAUUACCUUCAAUGUAUGUUAAAAAUUUUAAUUUUAUUAUAUUAAAUUUAAAAAUUAUAAAUAAGAUUUUUAAUAUAUAGAAAAAAUUUAAUAAUUUAUUAAUUGGAUUUAAUGUUACUUAUGAUUAGAGUUUAAAUAAUGUUUUAAUUUAUUAGGUAAAUAAAUUAUUUAAUUAAAAUUUAAUUGAAAUAAUGGUAGAAUAAGUAUAAAAUUAAUAUAUUAAAGUUUUAGUACUAUUUAGUUAAAAUUUUAUUUUGUAUGUAUAAUAAGUUUAUGAAUUAGGCAAAAUUUUAGGUCCAUCUGUUUAUCAAAGACAUAUUCUUUAGAUUUAAUUAUUUAAGGUGUGCCCUGCUCAAUGAUAUUUUAAAUAGCCGCAGUAAUAUGACUGUGCAAAGGUAGCAUAAUAAUUUGUCUCUUAAUUAGAGACUUGCAUGAAUGGGUUAAUGAGAUCUAUACUUUAUUAAUUUAUUUUAUUGGAAUUUAAUAUUUAAGUUAAAAUUCUUAAGUUAAUUCAGAGGACGAGAAGACCCUAUAGAAUUUGAUAAAAAUAAUUUAUUAUUAAUUAUUUUUGUUUAUAUAUAAAUUAUUUUAUUUAGUUGGGAGGACUUCUAAAUUAAUUAAACUUUAGAUUUUAUUAAAUCAAUUAAUUGUUGAAUUAUAAUGAUUAUAAAUAUUUAUAUAAGAAUUAAUUACCUUAGGGAUAACAGCGUAAUAUUUUUAGAUAGUUCAUAUAUAUAAAAGUGUUUGCGACCUCGAUGUUGAAUUAAGAUUGAGUUAUAAGUAGAGUUAUAACUUUAAAGUCUGUUCGACUUUUUAAAUUGAUCUUACAUGAUUUGAGUUCAGAUCGGCGUGAGCCAGAUCGGUUUCUAUCCUUGAAAAAUUUAAAUAAUUUUUGUACGAGAGGACUUAAUUAUUUUAAUUUAUUAAUAAAUGUAAA